UGGGGAAUUUUGGACAAUGGGGGAAACCCUGAUCCAGCCAUCCCGCGUGUGCGAUGAAGGCCUUCGGGUUGUAAAGCACUUUUGGCAGGAAAGAAACGUCGCGGGUUAAUACCCCGCGAAACUGACGGUACCUGCAGAAUAAGCACCGGCUAACUACGUGCCAGCAGCCGCGGUAAUACGUAGGGUGCAAGCGUUAAUCGGAANUUACUGGGCGUAAAGCGUGCGCAGGCGGUUCGGAAAGAAAGAUGUGAAAUCCCAGAGCUUAACUUUGGAACUGCAUUUUUAACUACCGGGCUAGAGUGUGUCAGAGGGAGGUGGAAUUCCGCGUGUAGCAGUGAAAUCGUAGAUAUGCGGAGGAACACCGAUGGCGAAGGCAGCCUCCUGGGAUAACACUGACGCUCAUGCACGAAAGCGUGGGGAGCAAACAGGAUUAGAUACCCUGGUAGUCCACGCCCUAAACGAUGUCAACUAGCUGUUGGGGCCUUCGGCCUUGGUAGCGCAGCUAACGCGUGAAGUUGACCGCCUGGGGAGUACGGUCGCAAGAUUAAAACUCAAAUGAGUUGACGGGGUCAUAGCUGUUUCCUG
rnacentral:rRNA from 1 species